UUUGGUAUUUUAGUGGUGCUUUUCGGCGCUUCUCAACAAUGUUGGCUCAGUGACGUGCUAUUUUGUUUGUUUAUUUCUGAAUUUCAAUUGCUCGCAGCAAUCAAAGUCAGUGUGCGCUGAUACCGUUGUAAACAUGCCGGUGGUGGAUCUAAGAGUCGACCGGAGCCUUCUCUGCACCAACUUCGAUGGCUACAAGCUCUCGUUCGACCCGGUGCCGGUCAUCCAGCAGGAGCUCCUGGCCACGCCACCGCUCAAGCUACUGCCACACUCCGAUCAGUACUCGCUUCUGCACGCAGAGGCCUUUGGCAGGCACAACAUGCUCUGCCCCGAUCCCUGGCUGCGCGAGAACUGCUACUACGUAAACAAGAGCCGGCAGGUUGUCCUGUGCUCAUACGAUGGCCAGGAUGGGAGGCCGCGCCAGCAGCGGGUGGUCCACACCGUGGAAGAGAAGGAUCGUGGCGAUGGCUACCAGCAGUCGGGCGGAGCCUACAACUACACGCUGCGCUUCGUCUCGGAAAAGUACUGCGUGCUCUGCGAUGGCAUCACAAUGUAUUAUCUCUUCGACACCGGCGAUCGUUCGCGGGCCAGCUCCACCGCGUCCUGGCAGCUACUCACCAGUACGCAGAUUAACCAGGAGAGCGCUAAUCGUGGCUUUGUGUUGUACGAUGCUCGUCUGGACGUUAUCCAAGAGCGCAAACAGAUUUCCCUGCUGGCCGGCCAUGUGGGACGUCGGGUGUCGCCGCGUUCCGAUCAUGCCGAUACAUUCUUCAUGGACCUAACCUGGGGCUGCUGGACACAACAGCCAACGCCCAGCGACGCGUGGUCGUACAGUGUUCGCGAGGAGCUAGACACGACUGGAUCCAUCUACUAUUGUGCCUUUGAGCCGCGUGCCGAAUCCGUGGUCUUCUCCACCAAUCGCGACCUGCUGACAAAAUCCCAACGUGCAGUCGCAGUCUCCGCUGCAGCGCAGCCAGUCGCACAGAAUGGCGAGGAUGUAGAAAUUGCGGCUACCCCACCAUACACCUGGACGCAGACAGACGAGGAUGUGCUGAUCCGCUUCCGCCUGCCCGCGGGGGCCACGCGCAAUGACUUCAACAUUCGCAGCACCAGCCAUCAAUUGGAGGUGGAGUGCCUGGCAGAGAUUCUCUUGACUGGAGCACUCUAUGCCAACGUAGACAGUGACCUGACCACCUGGACGAUAGAGGCCGAUUCCUUACAGUUGACGCUGGUCAAGCAGCUGCAGCAGAGCUGGCCACUUCUGCUCUCGGACGAUGAGGGCGCCCCUCCAGAGAGCGAGGCGGAAGUAGACCCACUACCAGAUCGCUCGCUGCCGAUACCAAAUCUGGAGGAUCCCAUCGAGGACUGCGACUUAGGACUUCCCGAUGUAGACGUUAAGCUGGUGCGCUUUAAUUUGGAAGCCAGAGAGAUAACCCACACAAUUUUCUUGGGAUCGACGCCGCCACUCUUUACAACGUCGCUGCGUGCCGGCUUUCCGGCCGCCUUUGCCACAAGGCAGGGCGUAGAUGCCUCGUUGUGGCUGCAGGUGUUCCAGCCGGCCAAGCCAGGCGAGUGGACCGUGCGCCAUGAGGGAAAUCUGCACGCCUUCGCAUAUGUGCAGGCGUCCAAGGAGCAACGCAAGUUCACUGACUGUUGCCCCGACCUAGACUACGCUGUGAUCUGCGAGGGCCUCCGCCACGUGCUUAUCUACAAAUCACGCUACGACUCGGCAGGAGGGCUGCGCAAGCGCAACGGUCCACAGGUGGUUAUUGGGAAACAGCAUAUGGUCUCCAUCAGCGACGAGGUGGGGGAAAUACUGGGCCUCUCCACAGCCAGAAAUGUGAUUACUAUCCUCACCGAAAAGGCAGUCCUGUACUUGCAGGUUUGAAAAUGAUAAUACCAUCUGACCAUGUAUAAUUAAUUGAAGUUUUUUUUUAUUAAAAUGCAUUUCUCGGCCAUAAAAUUUACUCAGCGUGGGUGGGAUAUUUUUCAACACUUGCCUCAAAAAAACAUAUGGUGAGCAGUGUGGCCAGGGCCUCGACAGGGAAGUGGGGGAAGGUGGCAACUCCAGCUGAUAGGGUUGCCAAUGGUUGCGGGGGCACAACGUGACGAUAACAUGUACAACUUUUUUUACAUAAAUAGCCGCGCAGUUAAGUGUAGCGUUUUAUUGUUUUUGGAAUUCGUUUGUGUUAAUAUCUCGUUGCGGUACCAACGCUGACAGCAGCAGUCCCAUCCAGAACAAUUAUAACAUCAAACGUAAUAUACAUUAAUCCGUCGGUAGUAGAUCGUGUAAAAGAACCAGUAAACAGUGUGCAUUCGAGUGGAAUUAUUGUGAAAUACUUUUGCGGCCAUUGGUAGAAGCGUUCUGACAAGCCCACACAACACAUGCCACAAUACAUAUGUACAUGCAUACAUAGGUUCGUAAUUAACAAAUUGUGAACUGCAACAAAA
rnacentral:misc_RNA from 1 species